AAUUCAUUUUUGUGUCUCAUCAAGUAAACAGACAUUCUUCCAUUUUAGGGCAACCUGAAAUGAAUUUUCAUAUUUUUCCCCAGUUUGGUACGAAUGUCCUCAGGUGAAGGGUAUAUAUUUGCGAGCAGGCCCCUUGUGAUCUUUCAUAGUCAGGAUGGUAGAACACAGAUUUCGUUAGAGGUCUAACCUUUGGACUUCAAUUAACACACAGCAGCUACAUGGGAGUCAGAAAUGUAUUAUUCCUUUAAUCAGAAAUAUCCGCAGCAGACCAUUCAAUAACCCAGCACUGAAAGGUGCAAUCUAUAUAUGUAGAAAAGAAUAUCAAAAGGGAUAGCAGCAGUCUUAGUACACAGCCAUCAUUUGGGGCCCAAAUUCUCCUUUAGGCAUUAAUAAACCCCAUCUAUUCUGUGUAGCAAGAGACUGCAUCAUAAAGUACAUAGAUUUGUUACCUGGAGAUAGAAUUACACCCAUUAGCUAACAAUAGCUCACAUGCAGAGAGAAAGCUUCAUUAUUUACUGAUUCCAGAGAGCUCAGUUCAGAGGCUGUUUAUUAACAAAAAUCCUAGAAUGAUUCAUCGGAUUAACGAAACGCGCUGUUCACUGAAGGUCAACAAAACACUUUUCUCCUUGCUCUGUAAAGUCUCCACAUAAUCACUGCUUGAUUGAGUUAAGGCAGGGUCAGAGACCCACAACACUUUUAUUCUGAUGUCACAUUGCUUUUAUAACCUGAUUUAAAUGACUCAGCUAUCGAGUGGACAGAAGAGCAGCUCUUCCAGGAUUGCUGAAUGCAGGCGGGCGCUCGUACCAUGCCGUGAAGGAAAGAGCAACCCCAGGAUACCGUAAGCUGUGAACACCCAACACCUAUACCUGGGUCACUUGUAGUUUUAUCCCUGAUCUUUCCCAGGGGAAUUUUCUACCACACUCAGGAGGGAGCAGAACAUCAUACAUCUUCUGGCGGGGCAGCGAGAGACCCAGGAGACAGACACUGUGGCAGCAGGAUCCCAGAGCACAGGGAGCGGGAAGAGAGGAGGCACAGAAAGCUGCCUGGCAGCGGGCACAGAGAUGCUGCAGAGACUGCGGAGCGGAGAUGAGGAGACCCUUCAUGGGAGACGGGGCCCCUUCUCCCCCGGCCUCUUGGUUGAGGUCCUGCCCAGAUCUUGAGGAUCCGAAGCCCAAACUCAACUGAGUCAAGAACGUCUACGGAGUGAAGCUACGGCAGCACCGCGCCUCUGUAACCGGUGGCCCUCCCCCAGCAUGAGGGCGCGAGGUAGCACGUGCACUGCUCUAGCUGGAAUUGUCCCGCACAGGAAGGGGGAGGGAUGGAGGAGGCUGCAGGGGACUUGCCUGUACUGAACGUCCUCCCCACAUUGCACCAGAACACAUCAUCCUGCCGUAGAUGAUAAUCAGUCCAGCUGCCAGGGUCAUAGAGACCUCGGGCUCUGGGUGUGUUGUGUACAAGGCAGUGCUGACCAGAGGAAAUGACGGGCUCCUCGCUGUGAGAACUCAUCCCUUCAUUCCCUGGGCUCCCCCAUGUAACCGGCCCUUUUCUCACACCCCUUUUCUCCCCCAUCUCCACAGCACCAACCCCACACUCUGUCCUCUACUUAGCAAUCACCACCCAUUAUACCCUUCUUCAUUCUUCACGGCCUCCUUUUCCCCAGGACCCACAAACAUACAUUUCUUCAGGUUAACAGGGACGCCGCUCACAGCACAUUACUUGCUCAGUUUUGUUUCCCACGGGUCACUGAAAACUGGAGACGACUGAGCUAUGGCAUUUGAAAAGGGUUCUCUCUGCCACACACCUGCCUGGUUGCACAUCACCUACCACAGCCUCUGUCUGUUCCCCAUGUGUCUGCAUUCACACACAAUUCACUCCUAAAUAUUAUAUAGGACUGAGAAGUUAUAUACCACUCCCCUCGUCACCCUGUAUACACAGAACCAACCCUAGGAGCCAUGUGAAUUGGGUAUCAGCCUAGGCCGAGCUGGUUCAUUUUCACAUUUCAGAAGUGGCCUGUGCACUCAGAUGCAAUCAGAAUGAGAGUGUGUGUGUGUGUGUGUGUGUGCAUGCACAUGUGCGCGUGUGUGCAACACACACCCAGUGGAAUGGAAACAAAACAGCGACAUUUCACAAAUGAAUGAAAAAUUUUCCCCGCAAAAUUAAGGGAGUGGUGUUUUACUGGAAAAUACACUCAGACAACAGAGUUGUUCCCUGAGGAGUCAAAUCUGAAUGCUAAUUUCAUUCAUUAAAUUUGAAUGGCAGAGGGAUUCUCGAUCUGUACAUCCAAUGCAGCGCUAGUGCGGAAGUCGCUGUCAACGUCUCUGCCUGCAGACCUGCCACGACGAAUAAGCAGGCUGUCUGCUCCCUCCCUGACUGAUUUCCAAAGGCUCAUUCAUGUGCAACACACAGCCACUUGCCUUCCCCACACAAUGCUCAUCCCCUCUACUGGAGCUUGGUUCAUCAGAGCAGAACUGCCAACCCUAUGCACUCAUAAAUGGGGCUGGAUUCCUUUUGUGUUUGGCUUGUCUUUUUCCACAGCCUUCGCAGUGCUGCAGGUCACAUUUUAAAACUUUUCUGAAACAAUCACAAUGACUAAACAAAAGCUGAGAUUCUUGCCUAAUUGUUCAUCUCCAGGAGCUGGGGCUUGAGGUGAAACCUCAAAUAGCACAGACAAUACCACUGGGAGAGUUGGCAGUAUUCUCACCAUGUGUACAUUCCUUGGGGUCACACACGGUAUUAGUAAUCUUCCCCCGCUUCCACUCCUGCUUUUGCACUAAUUUGCUCAAAUGGCAGCACUGAGGAUGGAGCUUUCAGAAGAGCUGGGCGCAUGUAUAACCAAGCCCAAAUACUCCAAAAUAUUGUGAGUGCCUUAAAAAUAACACCAUUAAAAAUACAUAAGUAAAUGCCAUGCUCAUUUUCUUGCUCUCCUGAUUUUUGGAACUUCAGGGUCACAUUUUGCAGAAAUGUACCUUUUUUGUAAACGGGAAGGGGAAAUGUUGAUACAAUCACUUGAUUCCAGGAACUAGGGCUUACAGAUCCAUGCAAAAUGUUCUGAGACUUGCAACAGGCUCCUGAGAAUGGAGGGCAUGGGAUAGCACCCACAGACAGGGUCAUAUUCUCAUAGGACUACAGCAUAUUGGGUGCUGAGCUCCUUUGAACCCUGGCCUGCAGGAGAGUCUACAAAAUGCUGUAAAGUCCCCUGGGGGGCAGUGACAAGG